UUGUUGACUCCUCUCCGUCUCCGUGUGCCUCCAUGUUCUGAUUUUUGCCGACUCCCUUCGUUUCCCAGUAACUCGCCUUCAACCUUCCUGCAUCGACUUUGCCUUCUUCUCUUCAACUUGAGAGGUUAUAGUCGAUCUUACUCCACUGCACCCUCCCAGUUAGCUCUUUUCGCAGAGCGGUUCUCUCCUGUGGGUGAAUACAGCUGAGAGGAUCGGCCCACAGAUGGAAUUCAACGGAAGUCAGGCUCUAAUGAUCAUCCUUGCUUUGACUGUAGGAGGACUGUAUGUGCUCUGAUUGCGCUUCUGUUCGAGCUAUUGUUGGCAGAUGAUGGGCAGAAAAGAAAACUUUGCUUGGGGACAACUCACGAAAUCGAAGAGGGGGGGGGGGGCUCGGAGUCAACCUCGAGAACAGAUGAUGCGUCUGGAGAAGAGAACGAGGCGCUAAGGAGGGACUCGGCGUCAACCUCAAGAACGGACGAUGUGUCGGGGGAAGAGAACGAGGCAUUCAACACAUCGGGAACAGAGUACGACGUGUUCUUGAGUUUCCGGGGACCAGACACACGCAACAAUUUCACCGAUUGCCUUUACCGUAGAUUGAGACUCGCUGGAUUCCAUGUCUUUCUAGACAACGAAGAACUCCGAGUCGGCAAAGAAAUCAGUGGAGAGCUUUUGAAAGCACUUAACAAGUCUCGAAUCUACAUACCCAUAUUCUCUCAUGAUUACGCUGCCAGCUCGUGGUGUCUCCAUGAGGCUGCGCAUAUGGAAAAAUGCACCUCAAAAUCAAAUGGGAAGAAAGAGAUACUUCCCAUUUUUUAUGAUGUGGACCCUGAUGAUGUUAAACUCAAAACCGAAUUAUACAAAAAUGCCAUAGCCAAGCACGAGGAGAAAUUCGGCCUUGAUGAAUUGAAGCGGUGGGAGGCUGCUCUCGUAAAAGUUGCACGUCUCAAGGGAUGGGAUGGGAUCUUAAACGGAAAGGCCAAGGGGAACUAAUUGACUUGGUUGUUGAAGAGGUAUUCUGUAGGCUUAAUGCCAGAUGCGUGGAUGUGCCUAAACAUCUGAUUGAAGAUCAUCCCCAGAUAAAAGCCAUAACAGAAAAGUUGUAAGUUGACUCUGAUGGUGUAUAUUUCCUUGGUAUUCAUGGAGUGGGUGGCAUUGGUAAAACAGUACUUGCGAGGAUUGUGUUCAACAGAUUAUCUGAUCAUUUUGACGGCGUUAGUUUCCUUAAUGAUGUUCGAGAGUCAUCGAAUCGUGGUCUUAUAAACUUACAAAAAAAGUUAUUAUCAAGUUUUGUUGGUUCUGUGAUUAAUGACCAAAUUAAAGAGAUUGAGGAUGGGAUCCGUUGGAUCAAGAAAGUAUGUAAUACUAAAAAAUGCCUCAUUGUUCUUGAUGAUCUAGACAAAAAAGAGCAACUCGAAAAGCUAGCUGGAGAAUCUGAUUGGUUUGGUUCUGGUAGCAGGAUCAUUAUCACAACUAGGGACAAAAGUAUCCUGAUGACUCAAGUGGAAUCAUCUAAUGAACAAGGCCAAAAUCAAACCAAAGGAAUUUUAGCUUAUGAAGUUCGUGAGAUGGAAUAUGGUCGAGCACUUCAGUUAUUUUGUAAGCAUGCAUUCAGAAGAGACUCUCCUGUAGAAGGAUAUGACCAUCUUGCAGAGAAAAUUGUCCGUAGAGUAGGGAUGCUUCCUUUGGCUGUUGAGGUGAUAGGUUCAUCUCUUUAUUGUGAGGGCUUGGUCCUGGAGGAACAUCUUGAUAAAAUAGAGUUAUGGAAAGACACAUUGAAGCAAUUAGAUGAAGGUCCUCACAAGGAUGUCCAAGAUGCAUUAAUGAUAAGUUAUGAUCGAUUGGAGCCUAAGAACAAAGAAGUAUUUUUAGAUAUUGCUUGCUUUUUCACCAAUGAGGACCAAACAUAUCCAAUUAUCAUGUGGCGUGACCGUAAUUACCAUCCUUACCAUGCAAUUAGUAUUCUCCUCCUGCGGUCCUUGAUAAAAACUAGAGAUGGUAAAAAGUUUUGGAUGCAUGACCAAGUUCGAGAUCUGGGAAGGUACAUUGUCCUCGAAGAAUAUCCUUGCAAAGAAAAUCCUCACAAAUUUAAUAGGGUAUGGAUUCAAGAGGAUGCUUUAAAGCUAUUGGAGAGAAAAGAGAGAAAUCCAGAUGUAGAAGCAUUAAGCCUGACUUCCAAUGGCUGUAGCCGCAACUUUACACCUGAAGAGUUUGCCGCUCUACCAAAUCUAAGGUUCCUUCGAUUGAAAGAGUCUGAUUUUUGUGGUGACUUCAAGAAUCUUCUUUCGGAGCUAAGAUGGCUUUCUUGGCAAACGUGGGAAACAACUUUCCAUGCGAAUAACUUUCACUUUAGCAAUUUGCAUGUGCUUGACCUUUCAGAUAGCAAUAUUAGAGAUGGUUGGGGUGGGUGGAGCCAAAUGAAGAUGGAUAGAUUGAAGAUUCUAGAUCUGACGGGUUGCGUAAGGUUAAAAAAGACACCCGAGUUCUCUAAUUUCAUGUCUUUGGAGAAGCUAAUUCUUGCUAGGUGUGUCGAGUUAACCACAAUUGACCGCUCCAUUAAUAAGCUAGAACACCUAACUUCUUUGAAUAUCAAGGGAUGCAGGUUGCUUGGGGAGUUACCCGAAGAAGUCAGUGCUCUACAAUCUUUGACAGAGGUUAUCAUGCCCCAAACUUUUCAAUGCUUCAAACUUUUGGAGGCAUUUGGCAAUCUGAAAUCUUUGUUGAGUUUGAUAUUAGACGAGCACCUUGGAAUCAGCCAACUUCCAAGCUAUAUUGGAGGGUUAGUGAAAGUUACAUAUUUAUCUUUACGUUGGUGUAUGGGGAUAGAGAAGCUUCCAUGCUCUCUUGGAAAAAUGGAAAUGUUGGGCGAGUUGGAUUUAUCAAUGUCAGGAAUAGUUGAACUACCUGAUUCCAUUGGAGAUAUGAAGAAACUAAAAGUCAUUAGAGUAAGCUAUACAAUGAUAAGAAAUUUUCCUCAUGCGAUUGGACAAGUGGAGAUGCUUGAAGAGUUACAUGCCAAGAAAUGUUGGGAUCUGACAGAUGAAAAUCUAGAGGAAAUUGGGAAGCUAUCCCAUUUGAAGAUAUUGGACUUAUCAUAUACUCAUGUAUCUAGAUUCUCCACGGUGCUAGGUUGUCUCUCUCAUCUCCACACACUUGAAUUGGGUUCGAGUGACCUUCAGGAGGUACCUGAUCUUCCCUCAAGUUUGACACGCCUUCACAUGCAAGCAUGUCAGUUCCAAUCUAUCCUUGACCUCUCAAGUCUCGUUAAUUUAGAUUAUCUGGAAUUAUCUAGAUUAACUGUUUCAAGAGAGAAACCUGACCCAAGUUGGACAAACAAUUUGCCAGUUAAACAACUGAUCCAUCCGCUUCCAAGUGGCUUGUCAACUUUGAAAUGCAGGGGCAUCAUGCUACUACCAUCUCUUUCCAACUUGAGAAAAUUAUCAGUUCUGUGUGUCAUUGAAUAUCCAAUGCCAUACUUCUCUAUCUCUCAGGAGCUAAUACAUUUAACAGAAUUGAAACUAAGUAAGUGCAAAUUUGUUGAGAUAAUAUAUGUGUCAUGCUUGAAGAAUCUACAGCACCUAGAACUAAACAGAUUGGACAGGCUGGUUAAGAUUGAAGGUUUGUUAGAAUUGGCAUCCUUGUUGUACUUUCGUAUUUCUGACUGCUAUAGGAUAAAAAGGUUACCCAACUUAUCAAAGUUAGAUAAGCUACAACACAUUGAGCUAGAAGCUUGUCCAAAAAUAAAAGCGAUUGAGGGCAUCAAGGGCUUAGAAAGGUUGGUGUGGGAUAAUCGUGGUUGCAUUGUACUAGAGAGAUUGCUGGAUGUCUCAAGAUCGACUUGGAUUUCCCGCAAAACACCAGAGUGCCAGGUUUCCUGAGUUUUAAUGGACCGGACACUUCUUACAGCAUUGUCGAUGUCCUUUACAAGAAUUUGGUUCGUAACCAAAUUUCGGUUAUCAGGGAUGAUGACAUAUUGAGCUUUGGUGAUGGAAUUGGUGAAGAGCUUCCGCAAGCACUCAACGACUGCCAUAUCUACAUACCCUUCUUAUCUAAGAACUAUGCUUCUAACUGGUGGUGUCUCCGUGAAUUAGCCCACAUGGUAAAAUGCAUGUCAAACUCACAUGGGAAAAAAGUAAUCCUGCCCAUUUUCUAUGAUGUGGAGGUUGAUGAUGUUAAUCUUAAAAGCGCUUUGUACAGAAGUGCCCUAGAUAAGCAUAGGUGGAAAUUUGGCAAUGAAGUGGAGGAAUGGGAAAUGGCUCUAAGACAGAUUGCGCACAUAAGGCGGUUCAACAUGAAUGGUAACAGCCAUGGAGAACUAAUUGAAUUGUUAGAGAGGUUUCACACAAGCUUAGGGGCAAAAAUGUGGAUGUCCCUGAACAUUUGGUUGAGGAUCACAGACAUAUAGAAGCGAUAAUAGAUAAAUUGGAUGUUGACUCUGGUGGUGUGCGUUUUGUUGGGAUACAUGGAAUGGGUGGUAUCGGUAAAACAACACUUGCGAAGGUUGUGUUCAACAAAUUACUUUUUCAGUUUGACAGUGUUAGUUUCCUCCACAAUGUUCGAGAAUCGUCCCGACAUAGUCUUGAUGGUCUUGUAAACUUGUAGAAAAAGUUAUUAUCGAAUCUUAUUGGUUCUGGAGAUACUAUCUGAAUCAAAGACAUAGGUGAUGGGAUGGCUCAAAUCAAGAGAGUAUGUAGGACUAAAAAGGUUCUCAUGGUUCUUGAUGAUCUAGACAAGAAAGAGCAACUCCAAAAGCUAGCCGGAAAAUCUGAUUGGUUUGGUUUGGGUAGCAGGAUCAUUAUCACAACUAGGGACGAAAGUAUCUUGAUGACUCAAGUGGAAUCAUUCGGUGAAGUGGUCCUAAAUCAACCUAAAGGAAUUUUGGCUUAUGAAGUUUAUGAAAUGGAAUUUGGUCGAGCACUUCUGUUGUUUAGUGAGCACGCAUUCAGAAGAGACGAUCCCAUAGGAGAAUAUGAGCAUCUUGCAGAGAAAAUUGUCCGUAGAGUGGGAAUGCUUCCUUUGGCUGUCGUGGAGAUAGGUUCAAGUCUUCGUUCCAGUCAAAAAAUUGUAGAAUGGGAAGAUAGGUUGAUGCAGUUAAAUAAAGGUCCUUUGAAGGUUGUCUGCGAUGCAUUUUAUGAAGGAUUAGCAUAUGAGGAAAAAGAAGUAUUUUUGGAUAUUGCUUGCUUUUUCACCAACGAGGACCAAACUUAUUCAUAUAUCAUGUGGGAUGAUUAUCAGAGUGCAAUUAGUGUCCUCCUCCAAUAGUCCUUGAUAAAAAUUAGAAAUGAUAAAUUUUGGAUGCAUGACCAAUUAUGAGAUCUGGGAAGGAAAAUCAUAGUUGAAAAAUAUCCUCACGAAUGUAGGAGGGUGUGGAUUCAUGAGCGUGUUGUUGCAAUGCUAUGGGACAGAAAAGAGAGAAAUCAAGGUCUGGAAGCCCUAAGCCUGAAUUCUAGUGGUGGCUGGAGGAGCAUCUAUACGGCUGAAGAAUUAGCUACUGCAUCAAAAUUAAGGUUCCUUAGAAUGAAAGGCCUAGAUGGCAUCUUUGAGAAUCUUCUUCCGAAGCUAGGAAGGCCUUUUGGGGAAACAUUGGGGAUGGCUUUUCAUGCAAAUAACUUUCACUUCAGUAAUUUGGUCAUGUUUGACCUUUCAGAUAGCAAUAUUGGAGAUGGCCGGGAUGG